AUGACAGUGGUGGUAAUAUCAGUUCUUCUUACUCACCUAUUUCAGAGCUAUGGCCAGCUCAGGAGUGUGUAGCAUUUAGUGGCGUUGAUCCCCCACUGGUAGGAUAUAGGUGUUGGUAGGUACAGGUCCUCAGUAUAUAGAGAGAAAAAAAAACAAAUAGUGCUCUCUGUAAAUGACAAUAACGGAUAGGUAUAUAAAAGGUAUAAUACUCACAUAUAUGUGAGCAGGAAUAUACUGCUCACUAUAUUGGCAUAGGUGGUAUAAUCCCCACCUAGGACUAUGGCACAAGCACAGUAUUAGGGGCCAAUAUUCCUUCAUCAGGUGGCAAUAAAAACAAUACCUGGUACAUGAGCGU